AUUGAACGCUAGCGGGAUGCUUUACACAUGCAAGUCGAACGGCAGCGCGGACUUCGGUCUGGCGGCGAGUGGCGAACGGGUGAGUAAUGUAUCGGAACGUGCCCAGUAGCGGGGGAUAACUACGCGAAAGCGUAGCUAAUACCGCAUACGCCCUACGGGGGAAAGCAGGGGAUCGUAAGACCUUGCACUAUUGGAGCGGCCGAUAUCGGAUUAGCUAGUUGGUGAGGUAACGGCUCACCAAGGCGACGAUCCGUAGCUGGUUUGAGAGGACGACCAGCCACACCGGGACUGGGACACGGCCCAGACUCCUUAGGGAGGCCGCAGGUGGGAAUUUUUGACAAUGGGGGCAACCCUGAUCCAGCCCUCCCGCGGGGGCGAUGAAAGCCUUCGGGUUGGAAAGCACCUUUUGCAGGAAAGAAACCGUGCCGGCUAAUACCCCGUGGAACUGACGGUACCUGCAGAAUAAGCACCGGCUAACUACGUG
rnacentral:rRNA from 1 species